rnacentral:rRNA from 1 species
UACGAAGGGAGCUAGCGUUGUUCGGAAUUACUGGGCGUAAAGGGUGCGUAGGUGGUCUGUCAAGUCAGAUGUGAAAACCCUGGGCUUAACCUGGGAACGGCAUUUGAAACUAGCAGACUCGAGUGCAGGAGAGGGAAGUGGAAUUUCCGGUGUAGCGGUGAAAUGCGUAGAUAUCGGAAGGAACACCAGUGGCGAAGGCGACUUCCUGGCCUGCAACUGACACUGAGGCACGAAAGCGUGGGGAGCAAACAGG